AAACGACUGAAUUGUCCGCCGUCCCAGACGGUAACAAGCCCAGGUAGCCCGCGAUCUUAAAGGCUACGGCGUGGCGUAUGCCGCGUUGAUUGCGCACCCCCGUUCCGCACCGCAUCCCCUGCGCGGAUACCCACCUGACACGAAGGUGGUGGAUGC
rfam:Nitrosomonas eutropha C91, complete genome.